CUGAGAUUCAGCCCUUUGUC
rnacentral:siRNA from 1 species